GCUGGCGGCGUGCUUAACACAUGUCAAGUCGAACGAGAACGGUCCUAGCUUGCUAGGAUGUCAGCUAAGUGGCGGACGGGUGAGUAAUGUAUAGUUAAUUUGCCCCUUAGAGAGGGAUAACUACUGGAAACGGUAGCUAAUACCUCAUACUCCUUCUUUCUUAAUGAGAGUUGGGAAAUGUUUUUUCGCUAAGGGAUGAGACUAUAUGGUAUCAGGUAGUUGGUAGGGUAAGAGCCUACCAAGCCAAUGACGCCUAGCUGGUCUGAGAGGAUGAUCAGCCACACUGGAACUGAGACACGGUCCAGACUCCUACGGGAGGCAGCAGUGGGGAAUAUUGCACAAUGGAGGAAACUCUGAUGCAGCAACGCCGCGUGGAGGAUGACACAUUUCGGUGCGUAAACUCCUUUUAUAUGGGAAGAUAAUGACGGUACCAUAUGAAUAAGCACCGGCUAACUCCGUGCCAGCAGCCGCGGUAAUACGGAGGGUGCAAGCGUUACUCGGAAUCACUGGGCGUAAAGCGCGCGCAGGCGGCUAUUUAAGUUGGAUGUGAAAGCCUACAGCUCAACUGUAGAACUGCAUCCAAAACUAUUUAGCUAGAGUGUGGGAGAGGAAGAUGGAAUUAGUUGUGUAGGGGUAAAAUCCGUAGAGAUAACUAGGAAUACCAAAAGCGAAGGCAAUCUUCUGGAACACUACUGACGCUGAGGCGCGAAAGCGUGGGGAGCAAACGGGAUUAGAUACCCCGGUAGUCCACGCAGUAAACGAUGAAUGUUAGUCGUCGGGGGCCUAGUGUCUUCGGUGAUGCAGCUAACGCAUUAAACAUUCCGCCUGGGGAGUACGGUCGCAAGAUUAAAACUCAAAGGAAUAGACGGGGACCCGCACAAGUGGUGGAGCAUGUGGUUUAAUUCGAAGAUACGCGAAGAACCUUACCUAGCCUUGACAUAUUUUAGAACACUUUAGAAGAUAGAGUGGUGCCUUCGGGAGCUAAUUUACAGGUGCUGCACGGCUGUCGUCAGCUCGUGUCGUGAGAUGUUGGGUUAAGUCCCGCAACGAGCGCAGCCCUCGUCACU
rnacentral:rRNA from 1 species